GGGGAACGGACUUCAAAUAGAGAUUUUUUUAAUAUCCAAGGAAGCUCAAAAAUGGGAGAAUCUUCAGCUGCUGAUUGCAGUUCAAGGAUUACAUCAAGAAAUUUUGGGGGCCAGGAUGCUGGUGAAGAACAAAAAGGGAAUAUCACUGGGAUGUCUUCAAAGAAACUUCUCUGAAAAUAGAGCGCCUUGUUGCCUUGCUCCUGAUGAACAGGAAAAGAAUCCUGUUCAGUGUGUUGAAGAUCCCAUGCCUUUAAACGCCAUGGUUCUUUACGAAAACGAUUCUUUUCCCAUGUCAUUUUAGCCAAAAGGUGAAAAAACCCUAACGAUGCUGGAGAAGAAUCAGCAUGAUUUAGUUUAAAAUCGGAUUGAUAAUUAAAUUUCCGCAAAUGAAACUGGUGUUAAAUAUGUCAUUUAUCAAGCGAUGUAAUCAUCGGUAUCACAGACCUGCAUUUCUGUGCCUUAGAUGAAAGUAGAGUUCCCUUUAAUUGUUAAAAUUCAGUGUGAGAGAAUUUUAAGUGUGAGGAACUAAAAACAAAAACAGCUGAGACGAGAUUUCACUUACAAUAUAUAGCCUGUUAUUCAGCAAUUACAUCCAAUCAAUCUGUAAAAUCAUUUAAAUUCAUAGUACAAUGUAUAGUAUGCAUUACAUGAGUUACAACCAAAAAACUAAAACCUAAAUAUUCUAAUCCUGGGAACCCUAAAAAUGAGUGGGAAAAACACCCUUAAAACCCAUCUCGGUCUAUCUACUGUGAUAUUUUAUUAGAGUCAGAAGGAAAAUGAAGAACCCUGCAAAACCCCAUAAAUCCGAGCUCAGGAUCAAACCAAGAAUGCUGGAGCUAUGCGACAGUGAUGCUACAUUCUGCCAGCCUGCCUCAGAUAUAUGCCCACAUUUCCACCUUAUAUUCAGUACUUAACAAUUAAUCAAUGCAUCUUUACAUCUGCUUACGCAAUUAUCCAAUCAGCAGCACAGUGCAUCCAAACCUGCACCUACAAGUCAAAAGUUAAUGUUCAAAAUCAAACUCCAGAAUUCCAGAAAAUGCUUUUAGUGUGAGCAGAAACACCAUGUUGGAAAGGUCAAAGGAGAAUGCCAAGACUGGGUUGAACUGAUAGGAAUGCAAUAGUAACUAAAAAAACACUCUUUACAUUUACCAAUAAUUUUAAUAUUUAACACAGGCUCUUCUCAACCUGCUCCCUACUCUCACCACAAAUCACAAGA